rnacentral:rRNA from 1 species
GAUGAACGCUAGCGGCAGGCUUAAUACAUGCAAGUCGUGGGGCAGCAGGUUUGUAGCAAUACAGAUGCUGGCGACCGGCAAACGGGUGCGGAACACGUACACAAACUUCCUUUAAGUGGGGAAUAGCCCAGAGAAAUUUGGAUUAAUACCCCGUAACAUUAUGAUGUUGCAACACAUUAUAAUUAUAGCUACGGCGCUUAAUGAUGGGUGUGCGGCUGAUAAGGUAGUUGGCGGGGUAACGGCCCACCAAGCCUGCGAUCAGUAACUGGUGUGAGAGCACGACCAGUCACACGGGAACUGAGACACGGGCCCGACUCCUACGGGAGGCAGCAGUAAGGAAUAUUGGGCAAUGGAGGAAACUCUGACCCAGCCAUGCCGCGUGGAGGAUGAAGGUCCUCUGGAUUGUAAACUUCUUUUAUAUGGGACGAAAAAGGGUCUUUCUAGGUCAACUGACGGUACCAUAUGAAUAAGCACCGGCUAACUCCGUGCCAGCCGCCGCGGUAAGAC